CACGUAGGGCGCAAGCGUUGUCCGGAAUUACUGGGCGUAAAGCGUGCGCAGGCGGUGAUGUAAGACAGAUGUGAAAUCCCCGGGCUCAACCUGGGAACUGCAUUUGUGACUGCAAGGCUGGAGUACGGCAGAGGGGGAUGGAAUUCCGCGUGUAGCAGUGAAAUGCGUAGAUAUGCGGAGGAACACCGAUGGCGAAGGCAAUCCCCUGGGCCUGUACUGACGCUCAUGCACGAAAGCGUGGGGAGCAAACAGG
rnacentral:rRNA from 1 species